GACGAACGCUGGCGGCGUGCUUAACACAUGCAAGUCGAACGGAAAGGCCCUGCUUUUGUGGGGUGCUCGAGUGGCGAACGGGUGAGUAACACGUGAGUAACCUGCCCUUGACUUUGGGAUAACUUCAGGAAACUGGGGCUAAUACCGGAUAGGAGCUCCUGCUGCAUGGUGGGGGUUGGAAAGUUUCGGCGGUUGGGGAUGGACUCGCGGCUUAUCAGCUUGUUGGUGGGGUAGUGGCUUACCAAGGCUUUGACGGGUAGCCGGCCUGAGAGGGUGACCGGCCACAUGGGGACUGAGAUACGGCCCAGACUCCUACGGGAGGCAGCAGUGGGGAAUAUUGCAGAAUGGGCGGAAGCCUGAUGCAGCAACGCCGCGUGCGGGAUGACGGCCUUCGGGUUGUAAACCGCUUUCGCCUGUGACGAAGCGUGAUUGACGGUAAUGGGUAAAGAAGCACCGGCUAACUACGUG
rnacentral:rRNA from 1 species